rnacentral:rRNA from 1 species
UGGGGAAUAUUGGACAAUGGGCGAAAGCCUGAUCCAGCCAUGCCGCGUGUGUGAAGAAGGUCUUCGGAUUGUAAAGCACUUUAAGUUGGGAGGAAGGGCAUUAACCUAAUACGUUAGUGUUUUGACGUUACCGACAGAAUAAGCACCGGCUAACUCUGUGCCAGCAGCCGCGGUAAUACAGAGGGUGCAAGCGUUAAUAGGAGUUACUGGGCGUAAAGCGCGCGUAGGUGGUUUGUUAAGUUGGAUGUGAAAGCCCCGGGCUCAACCUGGGAACUGCAUCCAAAACUGGCAAGCUAGAGUACGGUAGAGGGUGGUGGAAUUUCCUGUGUAGCGGUGAAAUGCGUAGAUAUAGGAAGGAACACCAGUGGCGAAGGCGACCACCUGGACUGAUACUGACACUGAGGUGCGAAAGCGUGGGGAGCAAACA